UUAGGGUGGGAUCAGGGUGGGCUCAGAGGGAUUUGGGUGAAAUUUGAGGAUUUAGGGUGGGAUUUGAAGGAUUUAGGGUUGGAUUUAAGGGAUUUAGGGUGGGUUUAGGAUGGGAUUUCAGGGAUUUAGGAUGGGAUUUGAAGGGUUUAGGGUGGGAUUUGAAGGGUUUAGGAUGGGAUUUCAGGGAUUUAGGGUGGGAUUUGAAGGAUUUAGGGUGGGAUUUCAGGGAUUUAGGGUGGGUUUAGGGUUGGAUUUCAGGGAUUUAGGGUGGGAUUUGAA